GCAAUGAUAAAAUAACCAACCCAACUGUGUGUAGGACACUUUCACCUACUUCGUCGGAAUUUUAGUGAGGUAGGGAUGUUUUUGAACUUCGAGUAUCAAAGAAAUUGUUUAUAAAAUCCGCAACUUCACUGUCACAAUUGUUUUACUUUAACUGCUAAAAGCUAGAUGAUAUUUGUCAUCAAACGCAGUACCAUGUUUGAC
rnacentral:lncRNA from 1 species